GUAUUACUAUAUGAUAUAUCAUGUAUACGAAUAAUACUCAAUUUUAAAUAAUAAUCUUUAUUGAAACUAUUUCGUAGCAUUCUGUUUUUGUUCCCAAUGGAUGCAGUAUUUCCUUAAUAAACACUCGACAAUAAGAAAAUCUCGAAAUAAAAACAUGUGUUUAUAUUUCUCAACGCUCGUCCCCCUCGUCUGCUAAUUAAAUUUUUCUUCCAGGAAGUUUCGUGGCUGCGCGCAAUGCGGUCUUUAGAUUCAGUGUUUAUGUGUAUAAUUUUCAAGAUAAAGUGGCCUCGAGAGUAGUGUUGCGUUCGAUUAGUCAACGUGAAAACAGACUCACUUCUGCUACAUAUGUAUUAUGAAUUAUUUCCAAAGUGCACGUGGCUCUGCUUAAUUUUUCUGACUGCAAGCAUAAAGCUAGCAUUUGUUCGUCGACUAAUUAUUAUUCAUGGAUUGUAUUCACAGUUUAUUUUUUAUUUUUUUAUUUUUGAAAUCAUUGGUAUUAGAGCCAGUGCAACACUGAAAAGAAUCAUAUUGGACGAUUCUCCACGAGGAAAGACUAUUUUUGUCACAACCUUCUGAAUUUGUUGGAUCCUGCCUGAUGACUUCGCUAAUGACUUCCGUUGAAUUUUCUUUUGGGGUCAUAGUCCCUUACCAGACUUUCGUAGUAGUGUGAUCUCACUUAUUCUACAAUCGGUUUAUAGAUAAAUUGUUCGCUGAAAUGCUGUCAGACGUUAAGGAAGGAAGGGUAGGAAGAGCGUAUCUGGAUAUGAGAUCACUCGACAUCCGGUUCCACGUUGGCUGGAUGCAGAGAAUGAUCUGUCAAUGGGAAGUGCGUUAUCACAGUACGCGUGUCAACAUUUGAAUGCAAUCAGAUAUCAAGUUUCUAGCAAACUCGUCGUACAAGCAGGGUCGAAGAAACCACGAAGAGGAGUGUCCAUUUUUUCGUUUGCUGCAUUGAACGCAACAUCCGUUCUCCAGAAAGGACCAUGACAUCAGCUAGCGCUCCUUUUGCAACAGGAUUUCGUGUUCUCUCGAGAAAUUGUUACCUCGAACAGGCAACAUUGAACCAGCGCAGCGUAUAGAACUUUGUGAAUUGGAAGAAAAGUAAUGAUAAAUGCUAACAAUCUCGUCAAAACGACGACCAGGAUAAUCGAACGUGUUCGUUUCCACUUUACGAUCGCCAUAGCCAGACGUAUUCAAAGAUUUACGACGAUCAGUCCCAUGAAAUUUGCAUACAACUGGCCUGGAUAUCAGCAUUGUCGUUCGAUAUUCUUGAAUAAAUGAAAAAAUUGUCAGGAUAUUGAUUUUUAUCUAUAUUCUCUCGUUUUAUCAUCACACGUCUCUCCUACGUUUUUGGAUGUUUUGAACGUAUCGUUCCUCCUACAUCCAUUCGCAAAUCAAAUCUAUUUUGAUAGAACUAUGUAAAUAAUUACGCAAAGUUUUAAAUAAGACCGUUCCAUGAAAUUACUCGACGGUAUCAUUGAAUAUUGUUACUCUUCGUUGUGAAUUCAUUAUAAUUGCUAGGACACUGGGAGGCUUAUUUGAUAUCUAAAAUACGACAAGUUCUUCUUACACUGAUGGUUAAUGUAAUUUUAAUCGUUGCUGAUAGCCAAGCUAAUUUUAUUGACGUUUAGGACAGAAACUGAUAGGUUUGAUUUAUGAUACUUCCUUUGAUUAAUGAAAAUGGGGUUGAUGAUGAACAAUGUUCUUAUAUUGAAGGGUGAUUAAAUGUGAUUAACUAAUAUUGAAGUGAUGAAUUAAUUUUAAGAUCGGUUGAAUUUUUAUUUCAUAAGAAAUUUGUAAAUUUUGUGAUUAUGUUGA